rnacentral:rRNA from 2 species
AAGGGGCGGGUUCUAUACAUGCAGUCGAGCGAAUGGAUUAAGAGCUUGCUCUUAUGAAGUUAGCGGCGGACGGGUGAGUAACACGUGGGUAACCUGCCCAUAAGACUGGGAUAACUCCGGGAAACCGGGGCUAAUACCGGAUAACAUUUUGAACCGCAUGGUUCGAAAUUGAAAGGCGGCUUCGGCUGUCACUUAUGGAUGGACCCGCGUCGCAUUAGCUAGUUGGUGAGGUAACGGCUCACCAAGGCAACGAUGCGUAGCCGACCUGAGAGGGUGAUCGGCCACACUGGGACUGAGACACGGCCCAGACUCCUACGGGAGGCAGCAGUAGGGAAUCUUCCGCAAUGGACGAAAGUCUGACGGAGCAACGCCGCGUGAGUGAUGAAGGCUUUCGGGUCGUAAAACUCUGUUGUUAGGGAAGAACAAGUGCUAGUUGAAUAAGCUGGCACCUUGACGGUACCUAACCAGAAAGCCACGGCUAACUACGUGCCAGCAGCCGCGGUAAUACGUAGGUGGCAAGCGUUAUCCGGAAUUAUUGGGCGUAAAGCGCGCGCAGGUGGUUUCUUAAGUCUGAUGUGAAAGCCCACGGCUCAACCGUGGAGGGUCAUUGGAAACUGGGAGACUUGAGUGCAGAAGAGGAAAGUGGAAUUCCAUGUGUAGCGGUGAAAUGCGUAGAGAUAUGGAGGAACACCAGUGGCGAAGGCGACUUUCUGGUCUGUAACUGACACUGAGGCGCGAAAGCGUGGGGAGCAAACAGGAUUAGAUACCCUGGUAGUCCACGCCGUAAACGAUGAGUGCUAAGUGUUAGAGGGUUUCCGCCCUUUAGUGCUGAAGUUAACGCAUUAAGGCACUCCGCCUGGGGAGUACGGCCGCAAGGCUGAAACUCAAAGGAAUUGACGGGGGCCCGCACAAGCGGGUGGAGCAUGGUGGUUUAAUUUCGAAGCAACGCGAAGAACCUUUACCAGGUCUUGACAUCCUCUGACACCCCUAGAGAUAGGGCUUCUCUUCGGGAGCAGAGUGACAGGUGGGUGCAUGAUGUCGUCAGCUCGUGUCGUGAGAUGGUGGGAUAGUUCCCGCACGAGGCGCAUCCCAUGAAUCUAGCUGCCAUCAUAGUGGUCACUCUAGGUACUGCAGUGACAGCCGAGUAGGUGGGAUGAACGUUCAAAAC